AAGAGAAUGUAAAGUUUGGGUCAGUGCGAGGCGGUCGGAGGUCAGUACGAGGUCAGUGCGAGGCGGUCGGAGGUCAGUACGAGGUCAGUGCGAGGCGGUCGGAGGUCAGUACGAGGUCAGUGCGAGGCGGUCGGAGGUCAGUACGAGGUCAGUGCAAGGUCAGUACGAGGCGGUCGGAGGUCAGUACGAGGUCAGUACGAGGCGGUCGGAGGUCAGUACGAGGCAGUCGGAGGUCAGUACAAGGCGGUCGGAGGUCAGUACGAGGUCAGUACAAGGCAGUCGGAGGUCAGUACGAGGCGGUCGGAGGUCAGUACGAGGCAGUCGGAGGUCAGUACAAGGCGGUCGGAGGUCAGUACGAGGUCAGUACAAGGCGGUCGGAGGUCAGUACGAGGUCAGUACAAGGCAGUCGGAGGUCAGUACGAGGCGGUCGGAGGUCAGUACGAGGCAGUCGGAGGUCAGUA